rnacentral:rRNA from 1 species
UUAAAGCCCCCCGCUUACACCGGAGCAAUGUCUGUUCAACUCAGAUCAUUUUGAGCCUAAAAUCUAGCCCACAUAACACCUAUGAAAUUCUCAACCCACUGCCCUAUAACAAAACAUUUAAACAUUCUAGUACAGGAGAUCAAAAAAUUACUAAGCGCUUCAGAUAAAGUACCGCAAGGGAAUGAUGAAAUAAAAAUGAAAUAACUUAAAGCCCUAAACAGCAGAGAUUCUCCCUCGUACCUUUUGCAUCAUGGUCUGGCUAGUCUUACCAAGCAAAAAGAAAAUUUAAGUUUGCCAUCCCGAAACUAAACGAGCUACUUCAAAACAGCCCCAAGGGGCCAACCCGUCUCUGUUGCAAAAGAGUGGGAAGAUUUUUAAGUAGAGGUGAUAAACCUACCGAGCUUAGAGAUAGCUGGUUGUUCAAGAAAAGAGUCUUAGCUCUACCUUAAGUUUUUAUCUUUUACCAAACAGUACUUUAAACUUAAGAGCUAUUCAAAUAAGGCACAGCUUAUUUGAAACAGGAUACAACCUAUAACACCGGGUAAAUAAAGGAUACCUAAAUAAAGUGGGCCUAAAAGCAGCCACCUUUAAAAAAGCGUUACAGCUUAUUUAAUCUAUCUCCCUAAUUAAUCUAUUCCUCAUUAACCCUUCACCAGUAUUGAACUACUUUAUACUUCUAUAAAAGUCAUCAUGCUAGAACUAGUAACAAGAAUAUAAACUUCUCCAAAAUGUAAAUAUAAGCCAAAACGGAUCCCCCAUUGGCUCUUAACGUCAAUGCUUUUACUAUAGUAACAUGUAUCAAGAAAACUCUAUAAAUACAAACGUUAACCUUACACCAGAACAUUCCAGGAAAGAUUUAAAGAGAAAGAAGGAACUCGGCAAAUCUUAGCCCCGCCUGUUUACCAAAAACAUCGCCUCUUGCUCAACAUAAGAGGUCCAGCCUGCCCAGUGACAAAGUUUAACGGCCGCGGUACCCUAACCGUGCAAAGGUAGCAUAAUCACUUGUUCUUUAAAUAGGGACUCGUAUCAACGGCAUCACGAGGGUUAUACUGUCUCCUUUCUCCAAUCAGUGAAACUGAUCUCCCCGUGAAGAAGCGGGGAUUUAACUAUAAGACGAGAAGACCCCAUGGAGCUUUAAGUAAUGUAUUUACCUUAUUUUAACUUCAACUUAACAAAAAAGAAUUAAGUACAAACUUUAGGUUGGGGGGACCGCGGAGUACAACUUAACCUCCACGACAAACGGGCCACGCCCUUAUCCACGAGCUACAACUCUAAGAAUCAAUAAACUGAUGUUUAAUGACCCGAUAAUUCGAUCAACGAACCAAGUUACCCUGGGGAUAACAGCGCAAUCUACUUCAAGAGCCCCUAUCGACAAGUAGGUUUACGACCUCGAUGUUGGAUCAGGGUAUCCCAGUGGUGCAGCCGCUAC